rnacentral:misc_RNA from 1 species
GCAUGUACCGAUUGAAUGGAGAGGUAAAAUCUCCGGACUAUGACGCGUUGGGGUCAAACCUAAUGCAGUCGUGGGAAGUGGAUUAAACCUUUCCAUUUAGAGGAAGAUGAAGUCGUAACAAGGUUUCCGUAGGUGAACCUGCAGAAGGAUCAAGAUCGGAAGAGCACACGACUGAAGUCCAUCCACGUGGCAUUAGGCCGUAUGCGGUUUUCUGCGUGCAAAAAACAAUUAAUCAGCGUGCUGUGACAUAUAGUGGAUCAACAUCUAUCGUGCAGCG